CACGUAGGGCGCAAGCGUUGUCCGGAAUUAUUGGGCGUAAAGAGCUCGUAGGCGGUCUGUUGCGUCCGCUGUGAAAACCCGGGGCUUAACCCUGGGCUGGCAGUGGAUACGGACAGACUAGAGGUAGGUAGGGGGGAAUGGAAUUCCCGGUGUAGCGGUGAAAUGCGCAGAUAUCGGGAGGAACACCGGUGGCGAAGGCGGUUCUCUGGGCAUGUCCUGGCGCUGAGGAGCGAAAGUGUGGGGAGCGAACAGG
rnacentral:rRNA from 1 species